AUGGGUUGGUGUGUGGCCGGGUCGGGUUCGUCAGCUCAUACUGCUAUUUCAGUUUUCGUAGUGAUCCAUGCGAUGCUUCGCCUAUCGGCGGAGUGACGUGAAGCACUGAGUUGUGCGAUGUAGCUUUGAGGGAGGCUCCCAGUCCCAGCGUUGACUCAAGGGCAAGAAAGGCAAGUCCUUUAUAUUUCCCCUUGGCACAAGGACGGAGAGAUACAACACAACAAAGAUGAAGUAAAAGGAUGGAAAGAGGAAUAGAACAAUACGAAGGCUACGAAACUUAUACCAGGAUCAAGAUAAUGUCACCGCCAGGAGCUUAUAUAGCAUUUCAUAGCCUUCCGUGCUCUUGUUAACCCCCAGUUUUUCUUGUGGGGUACUAAUUCUGAUGAGUGAUAAGUGUGAACUGUGGCAUAUGGCAGUGAAUGGUUUAAGGGUCUACACACAAUUUGAAGGGUUUCUUCUUCCUGCAGCAGCUGUGGUACAUAUGCAUGGCGGUGUUUUCCUACCAAUUGUAUCUUUAUUGUUCUUUAUUGCUCGAAUUCCUGUAAGUUUUGAGUCAACAACAGUAUCUUACUGGGAUGAGACUAUGACCUGUAUUCUUAAAUGUUCUUGACUGUAUUAGAAUGAUAUUUAAGAGCUACAGAAAGAGUCAAUCUUAUUUAUGAUACAGAAUCUUUAACAAACCAUCAGUACAGGAAAACAUGU